rnacentral:snRNA from 1 species
GAGUCACAGGGUGCCCUGAUUGUAUACCUCUGAUCACCAGGAUUGAGUGGGCUGAUCUGGCUGGCUAGGUGGGUGGUCCCUUCCUCCCUCAGUGCUCCACAGGUGAUCCUCAGGAAGCUGUGUGCUUGUUGGANGAGGACAACCAUCCCAGAGAGGAGGAGCGUACUGUUCUUCAGCACUCCCUUGCUAGAACCUCCAGACAACCUAAUCAAGAAAUGAUGCAGAUGAAUCAGUGCCUGGAUGCACUAAU